rnacentral:rRNA from 1 species
UACGUAGGGGGCUAGCGUUGUUCGGAAUCACUGGGCGUAAAGGGUGCGUAGGCGGGUCUUUAAGUCCGGGGUGAAAUCCUGGAGCUCAACUCCAGAACUGCCUUUGAUACUGAAGAUCUUGAGUUCGGGAGAGGUGAGUGGAACUGCGAGUGUAGAGGUGAAAUUCGUAGAUAUUCGCAAGAACACCAGUGGCGAAGGCGGCUCACUGGCCCGAUACUGACGCUGAGGCACGAAAGCGUGGGGAGCAAACAGG